rnacentral:rRNA from 1 species
AACGGCCAUACCAUGCUGAAUAUACCGGUUCUCGUUAGAUCACCGAAGUCAUGCAUCAUUGGGCGCGGUCAGUACUUGGGUGGGUGACCACCUGGGAACACCGUGUGCCGUU